rnacentral:rRNA from 1 species
UACCGAGUGAGGGCCCUCUGGGUCCACCUCCCACCCGUGUUUAUUUACCUUGUUGCUUCGGCGAGCCUGCCUUUUGGCUGCCGGGGGACGUCAGUCCCCGGGUCCGUGCUCGCCGGAGACACCUUAGAACUCUGUCUGAAGAUUGUAGUCUGAGAUUAAAUAUAAAUUAUUUAAAACUUUCAACAACGGAUCUCUUGGUUCCGGCAUCGAUGAAGAACGCAGCGAAAUGCGAUACGUAAUGUGAAUUGCAGAAUUCAGUGAAUCAUCGAGUCUUUGAACGCACAUUGCGCCCUCUGGUAUUCCGGAGGGCAUGCCUGUCCGAGCGUCAUUGCUGCCCUCAAGCACGGCUUGUGUGUUGGGCCCCGUCCUCCUUCCGGGGGACGGGUCCGAAAGGCAGCGGCGGCACCGCGUCCGGUCCUCAAGCGUAUGGGGCUUUGUCACUCGCUUUGUAGGCCUGGCCGGCGCUUGCCGAUCAACCAAACUUUUUAUCAGGUUGACCUCGGAUCAGGUAGGGAUACCCGCUGAACUUAAGCAUAUCAAUAAGCGGAGGA